rnacentral:rRNA from 1 species
GUGCCAGUAGCCGCGGUAAUACGAAGGGUGCAAGCGUUACUCGGAAUUACUGGGCGUAAAGCGUGCGUAGGUGGUGGUUUAAGUCUGCUGUGAAAGCCCUGGGCUCAACCUGGGAAUUGCAGUGGAUACUGGAUCACUAGAGUGUGGUAGAGGGAUGCGGAAUUUCUGGUGUAGCAGUGAAAUGCGUAGAGAUCAGAAGGAACAUCCGUGGCGAAGGCGGCAUCCUGGGCCAACACUGACACUGAGGCACGAAAGCGUGGGGAGCAAACAGGAUUAGAUACCCUGGUAGUCCACGCCCUAAACGAUGCGAACUGGAUGUUGGGUGCAACCUGGCACCCAGUAUCGAAGCUAAACGCGUUAAGUUCGCCGCCUGGGGAGUACGGUCGCAAGACUGAAACUUAAAUGAAUUGACGGG